rnacentral:snRNA from 1 species
GAAUUGACCUUAGUAUGACCAAGUAUAGUAGAGUGAGGCUGUCCCUUGCACUCUGGACAGGUUGACCCCUGUGAGUUUCCCCAAAUGCAGGAAACUCAGCUGCACAAUUUUGUGGCAAUGGAGGACUGCUUUCUUGCUUUCCCCUG